rnacentral:rRNA from 1 species
CUACGGGAGGCAGCAGUGGGGAAUAUUGGACAAUGGGCGAAAGCCUGAUCCAGCCAUGCCGCGUGUGUGAAGAAGGCCUUCGGGUUGUAAAGCACUUUCAGUGAGGAAGAAAGCCUUGAGGUUAAUACCCUCGAGGGAGGACAUCACUCACAGAAGAAGCACCGGCUAACUCCGUGCCAGCAGCCGCGGUAAUACGGAGGGUGCGAGCGUUAAUCGGAAUUACUGGGCGUAAAGCGCGCGUAGGCGGCUUGAUAAGCCGGUUGUGAAAGCCCCGGGCUCAACCUGGGAACGGCAUCCGGAACUGUCAGGCUAGAGUGCAGGAGAGGAAGGUAGAAUUCCCGGUGUAGCGGUGAAAUGCGUAGAGAUCGGGAGGAAUACCAGUGGCGAAGGCGGCCUUCUGGACUGACACUGACGCUGAGGUGCGAAAGCGUGGGUAGCAAACAGGAUUAGAUACCCUGGUAGUCCACGCCGUAAACGAUGUCGACUAGCCGUUGGGCUCCUUGAGAGCUUUGUGGCGCAGUUAACGCGAUAAGUCGACCGCCUGGGGAGUACGGCCGCAAGGUUAAAACUCAAAUGAAUUGACGGA